GCCAACCAUCGGAUAUAGUAAUUUAAUUAAGCCCGCUGACAAAUUCGGUUCGCUUGUCAUAAUGAACGAAAAAGAUCAUAUUGCAGAAGCUGAAGGGCAGUUGUCAGAUCAAUUUUUCUACAAGCGUAUAGGUUUUGAUCCCAGAAACGAUAACAAAGUGCGCAUUAGUUAAAAAAAACUCUUGAAAGUUUAGUGAAAGAAAAUUACAUUAGCGAUACUGUUAUUAAAUCUCUUGUUCCCCUUAGCCUUGUCACAGUUCAUUUCUACACUCACAACUUUU
rnacentral:lncRNA from 1 species